rnacentral:lncRNA from 1 species
CAUCUUUCAGGCACACACACCCCAGGCGGCUGUACUACGUUUGGAAGCUCUGGAACUGCCCUGAAGAAGCUCCAGAGAGAGGUCCUAGCUUGUCUUUUCUGUUCUUCCCCUGUGCUGUGUGACAUUGAAUGAGUCCUCUCCCCACUCUGGACCUUCAAGUCUCGUCUGCAGGAGGCAGGCCUGGAGGAUAGCGCUCAUCAAGAACUCUGGAUACAAAGGAACCGCAGAGGUCAAGCAUCUGCCCGCAUCCAAACCCUUCCUCACACCUGAAAUCAAGACCCCUUUUCCUGUGUGCCAAGCCCAAGGUGAUCUGGUCUCAACUACAAGGGCAGGAUGCUUGCUGCCCACUCAGCCUGCAUGGACACAUGGUAGCUUUCCCUAAGCCCAGCUUCUUCCAGAAAGACAGAGGCCGCUGGAGACUCACCGUGCUCCCUUAGCAUGGAUUCCCUGAGAGUGCUCUGUCUGAGUCUAGUCUGCAAGAAGAGGGCCCCUCACAUCUUCCUUGGGCAUCUUUUGGACUUGAUGUUCUUGGGAUGAGCAGGACGGGACCAAGCAUCACCCUUGACUUGCAUCACAACUGGUACCAAGAUACUCAUCCCUGCCCCUUCUGCAGCCACUGUGCUGGGGAGCAGUAGGGUCUAGAAACAUCUUCCCUAUUUGCACUGGAUACUGCCAUGGCCUCUCCCUGCUCUGGAGACACACGGCCCUCAGGAAGCACUGAAAGAAGUAAUGAGACAGAGCGGCAAGACACUUGACAGCAGCCAGCCCUCCCAGCCUGAGGGCAUUCCCUGCCCUGUCCAGCAUCUGCUUCUGCAUCCUGAGCAAUGCACACUCCCUCUGCAGAAGGUAGUGUGUCCCCUAUCCAAGGUGGG